GUGAACGCUGGCGGUAGGCCUAACACAUGCAAGUCGAACGGCAGCACAGUAAGAGCUUGCUCUUACGGGUGGCGAGUGGCGGACGGGUGAGGAAUACAUCGGAAUCUACUUUUUCGUGGGGGAUAACGUAGGGAAACUUACGCUAAUACCGCAUACGACCUACGGGUGAAAGCAGGGGAUCUUCGGACCUUGCGCGAUUGAAUGAGCCGAUGUCGGAUUAGCUAGUUGGCGGGGUAAAGGCCUACCAAGGCGACGAUCCGUAGCUGGUCUGAGAGGAUGAUCGGCCACACUGGAACUGAGACACGGUCCAGACUCCUACGGGAGGCAGCAGUGGGGAAUAUUGGACAAUGGGCGCAAGCCUGAUCCAGCCAUACCGCGUGGGUGAAGAAGGCCUUCGGGUUGUAAAGCCCUUUUGUUGGGAAAGAAAAGCAGCAGGUUAAUACCCCGCUGUUCUGACGGUACCCAAAGAAUAAGCACCGGCUAACUUCGUG
rnacentral:rRNA from 1 species